rnacentral:rRNA from 1 species
UACGGAGGGUGCAAGCGUUAUCCGGAUUCACUGGGUUUAAAGGGUGCGUAGGUGGGCAGGUAAGUCAGUGGUGAAAUCUCCGAGCUUAACUCGGAAACUGCCAUUGAUACUAUCUGUCUUGAAUUAUCUGGAGGUGAGCGGAAUAUGUCAUGUAGCGGUGAAAUGCUUAGAUAUGACAUAGAACACCAAUUGCGAAGGCAGCUCACUACGGAUAUAUUGACACUGAGGCACGGAAAGCGUGGGGAUCAAACAGG